rnacentral:rRNA from 1 species
GGCCCAGACUCCUACGGGAGGCAGCAGUGGGGGAUAUUGCACAAUGGGGGGAACCCUGAUGCAGCGACGCCGCGUGGGUGAAGAAGCGCCUCGGCGCGUAAAGCCCUGUCAGCAGGGAAGAAAAUGACGGUACCUGAAGAAGAAGCCCCGGCUAACUACGUGCCAGCAGCCGCGGUAAUACGUAGGGGGCAAGCGUUAUCCGGAUUUACUGGGUGUAAAGGGGGCGCAGACGGCGAUGCAAGCCUGGAGUGAAAGGCGGGGGCUCAACCCCCGGACUGCUCUGGAAACUGUACGGCUGGAGUGCAGGAGAGGUAAGUGGAAUUCCUAGUGUAGCGGUGAAAUGCGUAGAUAUUAGGAGGAACACCGGUGGCGAAGGCGGCCUGCUGGGCUUUUACUGACGCUGAGGCUCGAAAGUGUGGGGAGCAAACAGGAUUAGAUCCCCGCGUAU